CCAUGGACGCGGGACCGCUGUCUGGGUUCAGAACGUCGUGAGACAGUUCGGUCCCUAUCCGUCGCAGGCGUAGGAAAUUUGAGAAGACCUGUCCUUAGUACGAGAGGACCGGGAUGGACGUACCUCUGGUGUACCAGUUGUUCGGCCAAGGGCAUGGCUGGGUAGCUAUGUACGGAAUGGAUAAGCGCUGAAAGCAUCUAAGCGCGAAGCCAACUUCAAGAUAAGAUUUCCCACCGCAAGGGUAAGAC
rnacentral:rRNA from 1 species